AGGCCCCUUCAAGCUUAUUCGUUUGUUCAGCAAAUACUAUUAUGUAUCUGGAACUCUAUUGUGGGCUGGAUUUACGAAGAUGAACGUGGCAGGUAUCUAUGAAAGUCUGGCCCCUGCUUGCUGAAUUCUUCCAAAAGCACUGGAUUUUUGUCAACAGGAUUGGAUGUUGCUGGAGUUGUGAGAUGUCUCAGCUCUGGAGAUUAUGUUAUUACUGUCAUUCUUCUCCCAGGAGAGUUUGCUGUAUCCAGAGAGACAGAUUGGUCCCGUUUAAUCUAAUAAACGGAGAAGGAGCUAACAGUCACCAGGCUCUGGACUGGAACGGGGGAUACAGAGGUGAAGAGCUCAGUUUGUGUCCUUGUGGAACUCACCACCCAGGUAUGUACAAACACACUUUUGAUAUAACAUAAGUACUAUAAUUGCAAAAACCAUUUAUUGUUGAUGUUUAAAUAGUCUGCCUGGUUGUCAGUUGAUGUGUCAAAUCAUGUAUUGCAAUGUUUGAUGCAGAAAAUAUGGUUGGCACUAACCCGAGGAAUUAACCACAGAAGUUUAGCAAUGAGCAUGACUGACUCAGCCUGGAGGGUCUGAGAUGUCUUCACAGAGCAGGCAAAAUACUCAACCGUAUAUUGACCAUUCCUAGCACGGGGAGAGACAGGUUUUAAGGCAGACAGGUCAGUAUAGGCAAAGAUGUGGAAGUGAGAAAGAGCAUGGUCUGUUGGGAG
rnacentral:lncRNA from 1 species